rnacentral:rRNA from 1 species
GAUGAACGCUGGCGGCGUGCCUAAUACAUGCAAGUCGAGCGAACGGACGAGAAGCUUGCUUCUCUGAUGUUAGCGGCGGACGGGUGAGUAACACGUGGAUAACCUACCUAUAAGACUGGGAUAACUUCGGGAAACCGGAGCUAAUACCGGAUAAUAUUUUGAACCGCAUGGUUCAAAAGUGAAAGACGGUCUUGCUGUCACUUAUAGAUGGAUCCGCGCUGCAUUAGCUAGUUGGUAAGGUAACGGCUUACCAAGGCAACGAUGCAUAGCCGACCUGAGAGGGUGAUCGGCCACCCUGGAACUGAGACACGGUCCAGACUCCUACGGGGGGCAGCAGUAGGGAAUCUUCCGCAAUGGGCGAAAGCCUGACGGAGCAACGCCGCGUGAGUGAUGAAGGUCUUCGGCUCGUAAAACUCUGUUAUUAGGGAAGAACAUAUGUGUAAGUAACUGUGCACAUCUUGACGGUACCUAAUCAGAAAGCCACGGCUAACUACGUG